GACGAACGCUGGCGGCGUGCUUAACACAUGCAAGUCGAACGGAAAGGCCCUGCUUUUGUGGGGUGCUCGAGUGGCGAACGGGUGAGUAACACGUGAGUAACCUGCCCUUGACUUUGGGAUAACUUCAGGAAACUGGGGCUAAUACCGGAUAGGAGCUCCUGCUGCAUGGUGGGGGUUGGAACGUUUCGGCGGUUGGGGAUGGACUCGCGGCUUAUCAGCUUGUUGGUGGGGUAGUGGCGUACCAAGGCUUUGACGGGUAGCCGGCCUGAGAGGGUGAACGGCCACAUUGGGACUGAGAUACGGCGCAGACUCCUACGGGGGGCAGCAGUGGGGAAUAUUGCACAAUGGGCGGAAGCCUGAUGCAGCAACGCCGCGUGCGGGAUGACGUCCUUCGGGUUGUAAACCGCUUUCGCCUGUGACGAAGCGUGAGUGACGGUAAUGGGUAAAGAAGCACCGGCUAACUACGUG
rnacentral:rRNA from 1 species